rfam:Microgenomates (Woesebacteria) bacterium GW2011_GWA1_45_8 TX19_C0006, whole genome shotgun sequence.
GGUGCGGUGCUGAAAUAGGUAUACAGAGUAGUCUCAAAAACUACUGGUGCGAAAGCAUCGUGAGGGUUCGACUCCCUCCCGCACCA